ACUCAAAGGAAUAGACGGGGGCCCGCACAAGCGGUGGAGCAUGUGGUUUAAUUCGAUGCAACGCGAAGAACCUUACCUACCCUUGACAUCCUAGGAAGAGAGCAGAGAUGCUUUUGUGCCGCAAGGAACCUAGAGACAGGUGCUGCAUGGCUGUCGUCAGCUCGUGUUGUGAGAUGUUGGGUUAAGUCCCGUAACGAGCGCAACCCUUAUCCUUAGUUACCAGCACGUGAAGGUGGGAACUCUAAGGAGACUGCUGGUGAAGAACCGGAGGAAGGCGGGGACGACGUCAAGUCAUCAUGGCCUUUAUGGGUAGGGCUACACACGUGCUACAAUGGAGCGUACAGAGGGAAGCCAACCCGCGAGGGGGAGCCGAUCCCAGAAAGCGCUUCGUAGUCCGGAUUGAAGUCUGCAACUCGACUUCAUGAAGUUGGAAUCGCUAGUAAUCGCGAAUCAGAAUGUCGCGGUGAAUACGUUCCCGGGCCUUGCACACACCGCCCGU
rnacentral:rRNA from 1 species